ensembl:lncRNA
CUUCACUACACUGACAAAUCCUCUGUGUGUAUCACAUACUACUCUUACAGUAUUCUCUUUCAGAUGCAGUCGGUCACUUCUUUAGUUCCUGAAUGAAUCAGUGAGUCGGUUGAGUAAAUGAAUCUGCGAUUCACUCGUAAAGAUCGCUUAUGGCAUCUACUGGCGUAACGAUCAGUCAUAGAGUGAGCCGCUAACAGCCCCAGCUCCUCAAAACCUGGACCAGACUUCCCCAGCUCGGUCUGAAACUACAGUUCUCCACUCCAAAGAAAACAGCUUCGCCUCAGGAGCUGCCUGAACUGCUGCUCGCAGGCAAGAGGAAACCCAGCUCGAUUCACGAGUCUCUGAAGGAGCAUUUUAAUUACAGGCUGAACUGAUGUUGGCUGAAUGAUGAGGACACCAGCACUGCCAUACGCACCAGCACAGAGCCUCUAAACAUAUGUACGUGAUGUGAAGACCUUGUAAAAGCAUGUAGCAGUAAUGGGCUCCAGAUGUCUUAACAAAGGACUG